CAGCCGCCGCGGGAAUACGUAGGGUGCGAGCGUUAAUCGGAAUUACUGGGCGUAAAGCGUGCGCAGGCGGUUAUAUAAGACAGAUGUGAAAUCCCCGGGCUCAACAUGGGACCUGCAUUUGUGACUGUAUAGCUAGAGUACGGUAGAGGGGGAUGGAAUUCCGCGUGUAGCAGUGAAAUGCGUAGAUAUGCGGAGGAACACCGAUGGCGGAGGCAAUCCCCUGGACCUGUACUGACGCUCAUGCACGAAAGCGUGGGGAGCAAACAGGAUUAGAUACCCGAGUAGUCCCUGUCUCUUAUAC
rnacentral:rRNA from 1 species